AAUUCUCAACGCCUUACAUUUUUGUUGUUUCAAAAGUGUAUAUGGAUGGUUGGAUUGUGGAGGGAAUGCUGGCAAUUUCUGUCGGCUCCUCUGAAAUGCAUUAGCAAGGAAUAAGUUUUGCAAUUGUUGGUGUGAUAAUGAUCAUCGCAUUUGACUGAAUCUUUGAAUCUUUGCUUACAAUAGUCCUUUAGGACAGUCUAUUGAAA
rnacentral:misc_RNA from 1 species